AAAUCCGGUACUCGUUAAGGCUGAGCUGUGAUGGGGAGAAGACAUUGAGUCUUCGAGUCGUUGAUUUCACACUGCCGAGAAAAGCCUCUAGAUAGAAAAUAGGUGCCCGUACCGCAAACCGACACAGGUAGUCAAGAUGAGAAUUCUAAGGUGAGCGAGCGAACUCUCGUUAAGGAACUCGGCAAAAUGACCCCGUAACUUCGGGAGAAGGGGUGCUCUUUAGGGUUAACGCCCAGAAGAGCCGCAGUGAAUAGGCCCAAGCGACUGUUUAUCAAAAACACAGGUCUCUGCUAAACCGUAAGGUGAUGUAUAGGGGCUGACGCCUGCCCGGUGCUGGAAGGUUAAGAGGAGUGGUUAGCUUCUGCGAAGCUACGAAUCGAAGCCCCAGUAAACGGCGGCCGUAACUAUAACGGUCCUAAGGUAGCGAAAUUCCUUGUCGGGUAAGUUCCGACCCGCACGAAAGGCGUAACGAUUUGGGCACUGUCUCAACGAGAGACUCGGUGAAAUCAUAGUACCUGUGAAGAUGCAGGUUACCCGCGACAGGACGGAAAGACCCCGUGGAGCUUUACUGUAGCCUGAUAUUGAAAUUCGGCACAGCUUGUACAGGAUAGGUAGGAGCCUUUGAAACGUGAGCGCUAGCUUACGUGGAGGCGCUGGUGGGAUACUACCCUAGCUGUGUUGGCUUUCUAACCCGCACCACUUAUCGUGGUGGGAGACAGUGUCAAGCGGGCAGUUUGACUGGGGCGGUCGCCUCCUAAAAGGUAACGGAGGCGCUCAAAGGUUCCCUCAGAAUGGUUGGAAAUCAUUCAUAGAGUGUAAAGGCAUAAGGGAGCUUGACUGCGAGACCUACAAGUCGAGCAGGGUCGAAAGACGGACUUAGUGAUCCGGUGGUUCCGCAUGGAAGGGCCAUCGCUCAACGGAUAAAAGCUACCCCGGGGAUAACAGGCUUAUCUCCCCCAAGAGUUCACAUCGACGGGGAGGUUUGGCACCUCGAUGUCGGCUCAUCGCAUCCUGGGGCUGUAGUCGGUCCCAAGGGUUGGGCUGUUCGCCCAUUAAAGCGGUACGCGAGCUGGGUUCAGAACGUCGUGAGACAGUUCGGUCCCUAUCCGUCGUGGGCGUAGGAAAUUUGAGAGGAGCUGUCCUUAGUACGAGAGGACCGGGAUGGACAUACCUCUGGUGUACCAGUUGUCGUGCCAACGGCAUAGCUGGGUAGCUAUGUGUGGACGGGAUAAGUGCUGAAAGCAUCUAAGCAUGAAGCCCCCCUCAAGAUGAGAUUUCCCAACUUCGGUUAUAAGAUCCCUCAAAGAUGAUGAGGUUAAUAGGUUCGAGGUGGAAGCAUGGUGACAUGUGGAGCUGACGAAUACUAAUCGAUCGAAGACUUAAUCAAAA
rnacentral:rRNA from 1 species